AGAGGGGCUGGGCGGGGGCAGGGCGUAUCUUGGCGUGUGCAUAUCCCUGUGCACAGGUGUGCCUCUGAGUGUGACGCGGCAUGUGCAUGUGCACACGGGUCCCCACCUCUCCCAGGGGAAAGUGGGGAACAGUUCUGAGGGCCUCCCGACCAGGUUGCUCUGGGCGCAGCCCCAAGACUCAGGCCUGACUCAUUUUCCUUCCUUGGCCUUGUCUUUGUCCUCUCCGCAGUUCUCUUUGGAUGGGGGAGAGACACAGGCAGUGGGGUCAGCAUGGCCCAUCUUCCCUGCUUCCUGCGCUGCUCAUUACCUGGUGUGUGUGUGUGUGUGUGUGUGUGUGUGUGUGUGUGUGUGCAUGCGGGGCGUUCGUGGUUCUGCGUGUUUAGCUAGGUUCUUGUCUGUCUCCUACUAUGUUGUCAGCUCCACACAGGGGGAGACUUGUAGGCCCUCAAAAAUUACUUGUGGAACAGUUCCUCUUAUCGAUAUGCUGUUGAGGCUGGACUGUGCAUUUUGCAUUCAGCGCACGCGCGUGCACGCAUACACACACACACACACGCACACGCACAAGCAUAUCUGACUCAGGGAUAGCUGCUGGGUCUGGGGCUCAGGCAGGAACCUACAGAGAUGAGUUUCCGUCCUGGAAGAGAGAGGGGACGCGUGGGGCAUCAGCCAAGGGCCCAGUGUGGGGCCUGCACACAGUAGGGCUUGUGUGCCAGGCGUUUCUUGGGUGUCUGUGACCCUCCCCCGAGGGGGCUGGGACGACAGGCUUGAAGGUCAGGUGCUCCCGCAGCCUGGGAGGCGGGAGGGGAAGAGGCUGGAGCCUCUUCUGCUCAGGGCAGUGCAGGAUCCCCGGGAUAGCGCACCUGCUAUGUGCCAGGCACAGGGCAAAACACGGUCUAUUAUCUUGUUUAAUUUUGGCUGGAGGAUUGUGAAAGAGGUCCAGCCGGCCUCUGGGUGGGGGCAGGCCAGGUGGAGAGACCACGUGAGCCGAGGUCUGGAGGUCGGAAAGCCUGGAGUGGAGUUUGGGAAGAUGAGUCUGGAAUGUAGUUUGAGGAUCAAAUUACACAGGACGGUAAACUUUGGGCUAAGAAAGGGAGCCUUACCCGGUUGGUCCCGGAGUGCCUUUGUGAAAAUGCAGAAUCUUGGGCCGCGUCGGGGGAGAUUUUGAUUCAGUAGGGUCCACGGAGGGGGGGGGGGACCCGGGGAACCUGCCUCGUGAGUGUGCUUCCAGGAUAUUAAUUCACCCACGUUUGCCGGUUGGAAGGCGGCUGAGGGGGCUGCGUCUUCCAGACUCUUCCCACUCACCCUGGGGAGGCAACAAAGCCAUCUGCAUUUUUCAAGGAGCCUGAGCUCAGAGAAGGGUGGCCCCUUCUCUGCAGCAAGGCCAGGCCAGUACUGACUAACGAUUGCCAUGCGCCCUGACUGCUGCUCUGAGCUUGUCCAGUGGCCCUCGUUCAGUCCUCAGAACGACCCUCGGCAGCGCUCCUGUUGCACACAGGAGGAAACGGAGGCAGAGUCCGCGGUCCCGGGUUCGAGGCCGCCUCGCUGAAGGAGAGGACCCGGGUGAGAAGCUGCUGUCGCCUGGACCGGGACCCGGGACCCGAGACUCCGUUGCUACUGCUGCUGUGGCCACUGCUGCCGUGGGGACUUCCCUGAGACCAGGCCAGGGAUAGAGCCUCGCUGGCCGGAGGGGCCCCCUUUGCCCGCAGACAUCGGAGCCAGGUGACAGAUGGGUCCUUUCCUUCCUGCCCCGUCUCUCGAGCUCCCUCCUCAGAGGCUCACUCUCCAGCCUCCCAUGGGCAUCGUGGGAAUCGUCUGAAGUUCUGAGCCCGGAACCCGAGGAGGAGGAGGAAGAAGAGGAAGAGGAGGAGGAGGGAGAGGAAGUCGAGUCCUGAGAACCUGUGCACCUUCCCGGAAACAGGCGGAGGGGCGCGGCCCGGCCC